rnacentral:rRNA from 1 species
GACGAACGCUGGCGGCGUGCCUAAUACAUGCAAGUUGAGCGCUGAAGGUUGGUACUUGUACCAACUGGAUGAGCAGCGAACGGGUGAGUAACGCGUGGGGAAUCUGCCUUUGAGCGGGGGACAACAUUUGGAAACGAAUGCUAAUACCGCAUAAAAACUUUAAACACAAGUUUUAAGUUUGAAAGAUGCAAUUGCAUCACUCAAAGAUGAUCCCGCGUUGUAUUAGCUAGUUGGUGAGGUAAAGGCUCACCAAGGCGAUGAUACAUAGCCGACCUGAGAGGGUGAUCGGCCACAUUGGGACUGUGACACGGCCCAAACUCCUACGGGAGGCAGCAGUAGGGAUUCUUCGGCCAUGGACGAAAGUCUGACCGAGCAACGCCGCGUGAGUGAAGAAGGUUUUCGGAUCGUAAAACUCUGUUGUUAGAGAAGAACGUUGGUGAGAGUGGAAAGCUCAUCAAGUGACGGUAACUACCCAGAAAGGGACGGCUAACUACGUG